GGCAGGCUGGCACAGCUUCAGAAACAUUGCCGACUUCUCAGCCAAGAACCUCAGCUCUCCAGUCCCAGCACAAGAAGGUGGCACCAGCACAGCCCAGCAGCUCCGAGUUAGGGAGCACCAAGGAGUGCCACAGCUCCUCAGUCUGUGACAGAGAGAUCAGCUGCAGUGACAAUGAGGAGGACAACCUUCCAAGGGUGCUGGCCCUGCCAGUACGUGAGGUCACAGACCAGUCAUGCAAGGAGCAGACCAAAGUCAAGAAAACAGUGAAGCCAAAAGCCACCAACAAUAAGGACCUGCAGCCGGCACUUCACAAGCCCUCUGAGGACAGUAAGGACAAGGGCUCCCAGCAGGCAAACACCAAAGGCUUUUUGGAUGCCAGGCUCCUGAGACAUGCUCAGGAAUGUGAUGCCCUCAUCCCCAGUGGCCACAGGCCUGGGGAUUGGCACAAGGAGAAAGUGCCCUUGCAUUCUGGAGUGAAGAAGUUGUUCUUGCCUUUGAGGAAGGCAGACUUGAAGAGGAAAGCCAUGAGGAGU